CUGAAGUGAUUCGUUGAAGGUCGCUUGGCAGACCGAGUUAAAGAAUUCUGCUCUUCUGAGCCUCAAACCUGUGUUCUGUUAAACUGUUGGCAGAAAGCAGACUGCAUCUUUGGCCUGAAGUGGUCACCAAGCCAGUAGCUGGAAAUUGUAAUAUAUUGAACUGUGUUUUCAUUCUUUGAUACUGGCACCAGUUAAACAUACUCCAUGUGACCAUCUAUGACAUCUCUGCAAAGUACCUCAAUCCCUGAGGUUUGUCUUCAGAAGACAUUUCAUUCAGCUUCAAAGUCCAGGAUCGUUCUUGAGGCAAAAGCACCUUUUGUGCUUCUCCUUGUAAGGACCAAGAUAAGAAAAAGAAGAUGCAGGUAAACUGUUGCCAGUUCUGCUGGAAUGAACCAUAUAUUUCUCAAAACCACCUCCUAGACCAGACAGUCUGGGACAUGCUUUUUCCUGGAUUAUUCCUGGACCUAUUGCUUAAAAAUUGGAUUAUUGUUCUUUGUAAGUUUUUGCUUGUUUGUUUGUUUUUUUGUUGAACCUUCCAGGACUCAUUGUUUAAUCUCUAGAACUUGAACUCCUCCAUCUAAAAUAUGGUACAUUAUCAGAACAAACUAGGGGAUAAUCAUUCUGCUUUACUCAAGAAUUUGAGAUUUCAAAAUCUGCCUUCAUUUCAAAUUGGGCAACAGCCAAAUAUUUUGAAGAAGUAAAACAGAUUGAUCAAAACAUUUCAACUGUACUGUUUAUCUUGAAAGACAUUUUAGGAUCUUAACAUAAAUUUGACCCAAUAUGUAAUUUUUAAAAAGAAAAUCCAUGUUUUAUUUCAGGAACAUGUCAACAUUUUGAGGCUCUUGGAACUACUUUCAGUAUUUCUUAAAGGAAGUUUGCAGAAAGCAAACAUGGUUUUGAAAACAUUUUGUUUUCUCUUAGAAAAUAUCUCUGUUAAGAUUAUAGACAGGUAUUCCCUUUGUUUAUUCACUAUACCUAUGAACUGUCAUGAAACUAGAAAGACUUGAUUGUGGAAGCUUGGACAGAAAAUGCAAAGCAAAACAUCAGCUGAAGUAAAAUGUUAUUAGCUUGAUUGAAGUCUGCCCUUAGAAUUGUGUUAGUCCUUGCUCUGCAUUUUCAGCUAUAUGCAUCUGGUGUAGCAAGAAGGCAUCAUGCACUACCUUUUACUCAUUUCUGAAGUGCUCAGUUGGAAAGGCAUUUUCAUUAGGCAGUUCUGUAUGUGUGAACAUGUGUCAUCUAAUCAUGGGCACAAAGCUUAAAAUAUAAUGCUGACUUCUGUAUGGGCACCUUAUAUACUGUAAAUAUAUUAUAAAAUAUGUGUGUUAUAAGCAAAGCGCCUAAGUUAUGUUGUGCUCGGUAUUCCAAAUGAUCAGAUCAGAUGUUCAAGCUUAAAUAUUCAGGAUUUGGUUUUUUUAAUUUCCAAUGAGCUAAUUAAAGCCAUAGCUAAAAUAAUGCUUUACAUCUCGAAGUAAAACAUUUCCCUGCACAACACAGUGAAUAUGCCAUUAUUCAAGAUGCUUGUACUAAAACAUUAGAGGAAGUGAUGUAUGGUAUCUCGAUUCCUAGAAAUGUGAACUGUCUUAAAAAUAUAUGUACAACUUUUUGGUACCCUUAAAAAUAUUUGGUGUGCAUUUUUUUGGUACUACACAGACAUUUUCCUCAUUAUCUGAAUUUAAACCUGACUUGCAUCAAACCUAUAGUCUGCCUCUCUUAGCUGCCUCCAGUAAUUUUUUAGUAGGGUUAUGUGUGGUGUGUGCGCUUAAGAAAACAACAUUAGGUUGUGCUAUCUGAUCUUAACAUGCUGUACUGUUGUGGUGAAUUUCUUAAUGUACCAGGGUGUCCAUCAGGCCCCAGAUACAACCACAAAGCCAAGCCAGUGACGCAAAUCAGCAGCUGAUAUAAACAAGUUGACACAAACCAGAAACUGAGCUAGCAGCGAAC